CGGGACGUGGCGCAGAUGGCGGCGCGCCGGCCUUGGGAGCCGGAGGCCGCGGGUUCGAGUCCCGCCGUCCCGACCA
rnacentral:tRNA from 1 species